UUGGAUUUAAACCCCGAAUAUAAAGCUUAUACUUUUUUUAGAA
rnacentral:tRNA from 1 species